UUUUGAAAUUCUUUACCUUGAGUUGGGAUGAGCUUAAUUGUAUGUAAUAAAAAGGUUCAAGUUGGGGUUGUACAGGGGAAAAUUGAAAAACAAGUGAAAGGCAUUGAGCUCAAUUGUUGUAAAAAGAAAAAUUCAUAAGAAAAAGAAAAGAAAAGAAGAAAAGCAUGAAGAUGAGCUCAAUGAAAAAGAAAAGAAAAGGGAAGAAGUUGGGAAUGAGAAAUUUU
rnacentral:lncRNA from 1 species